AUUGAACGCUGGCGGCAGGCUUAACACAUGCAAGUCGAGCGGGGGAGGUUGCUUCGGUAACUGACCUAGCGGCGGACGGGUGAGUAAUGCUUAGGAAUCUGCCUAUUAGUGGGGGACAACAUUCCGAAAGGAAUGCUAAUACCGCAUACGUCCUACGGGGGAAAGCAGGGGAUCUUCGGACCUUGCGCUAAUAGAUGAGCCUAAGUCGGAUUAGCUAGUUGGUGGGGUAAAGGCCUACCAAGGCGACGAUCUGUAGCGGGUCUGAGAGGAUGAUCCGCCACACUGGGACUGAGACACGGCCCAGACUCCUACGGGAGGCAGCAGUGGGGAAUAUUGGACAAUGGGGGGAACCCUGAUCCAGCCAUGCCGCGUGUGUGAAGAAGGCCUUUUGGUUGUAAAGCACUUUAAGCGAGGAGGAGGCUCCUUUAGUUAAUACCUAAAGAGAGUGGACGUUACUCGCAGAAUAAGCACCGGCUAACUCUGUGCCAGCAGCCGCGGUAA
rnacentral:rRNA from 1 species